GAUGAACGCUAGCGGCAGGCCUAACACAUGCGAGUCGAGGGGCAGCAUAAAAUAAACUUGUUUAUUUGGUGGCGACCGGCGCACGGGUGCGUAACGCGUAUGCAACCUACCUUACACAGGGGGAUAGCCCGGAGAAAUCCGGAUUAAUACCCCAUAGCACUAUCGGAUGGCAUCAUUUGAUAUUUAAAGCUUUGGCGGUGUAAGAUGGGCAUGCGUCCUAUUAGCUAGUUGGUGAGGUAACGGCUCACCAAGGCUACGAUAGGUAGGGGGCCUGAGAGGGUGGUCCCCCACACUGGUACUGAGACACGGACCAGACUCCUACGGGAGGCAGCAGUGAGGAAUAUUGGUCAAUGGGCGCAAGCCUGAACCAGCCAUGCCGCGUGAAGGAUGAAGGUUCUAUGGAUUGUAAACUUCUUUUAUUUGGGAAUAAACCCCUUUACGUGUAGAGGGCUGAAGGUACCAAAUGAAUAAGCACCGGCUAACUCCGUGCCAGCAGCCGCGGUAAGAC
rnacentral:rRNA from 1 species